GAUGAACGCUGGCGGCGUGCCUAAUACAUGCAAGUCGAGCGAACAGACGAGGAGCUUGCUCCUCUGACGUUAGCGGCGGACGGGUGAGUCACACGUGGAUAACCUACCUAUAAGACUGGGAUAACUUCGGGAAACCGGAGCUCAUACCGGAUAAUAUAUUGAACCGCAUGGUUCAAUAGUCAAAGACGGUUUUGCUGUCACUUAUAGAUGGAUCCGCGCCGCAUUAGCUAGUUGGUAAGGUAACGGCUUACCAAGGCAACGAUGCGUAGCCGACCUGAGAGGGUGAGCGGCCACACUGGAACUGAGACACGGCCCAGACUCCUACGGGAGGCAGCAGUAGGGAAUCUUCCGCAAUGGGCGAAAGCCUGACGGAGCAACGCCGCGUGAGUGAUGAAGGUCUUCGGAUCGUAAAACUCUGUUAGUAGGGAAGAACAAAUGUGUAAGUAACUAUGCACGUCUUGACGGUACCUAAUCAGAAAGCCACGGCUAACUACGUG
rnacentral:rRNA from 1 species